rnacentral:rRNA from 1 species
UACGGGGGGGGGCAAGCGUUGUUCGGAAUUACUGGGCGUAAAGGGCUCGUAGGCGGCCAACUAAGUCGGAUGUGAAAUCCCCAGGCUUAACCUGGGAAUUGCAUCCGAUACUGGAUGGCUUGAAUCCGGGAGAGGGAUGCGGAAUUCCAGGUGUAGCGGUGAAAUGCGUAGAUAUCUGGAGGAACACCGGUGGCGAAGGCGGCAUCCUGGACCGGCAUUGACGCUGAGGAGCGAAAGCGUGGGGAGCGAACAGG